CAGUAGCCACGGGAAUACGUAGGUGGCAAGCGUUGUCCGGAAUUAUUGGGCGUAAAGCGCGCGCAGGCGGAUCAGUCAGUCUGUCUUAAAAGUUCGGGGCUUAACCCCGUGAUGGGAUGGAAACUGCUGAUCUAGAGUAUCGGAGAGGAAAGUGGAAUUCCUAGUGUAGCGGUGAAAUGCGUAGAUAUUAGGAAGAACACCAGUGGCGAAGGCGACUCUCUGGUCUGUAACUGACGCUGAGGAGCGAAAGCGUGGGGAGCGAACAGGAUUAGAUACCCCUGUAGUCCCUGUCUCUUAACAC
rnacentral:rRNA from 1 species